UAGGGAAUCUUCCACAAUGGACGCAAGUCUGAUGGAGCAACGCCGCGUGAGUGAAGAAGGUUUUCGGAUCGUAAAGCUCUGUUGUUGGUGAAGAAGGAUAGAGGCAGUAACUGGUCUUUAUUUGACGGUAAUCAACCAGAAAGUCACGGCUAACUACGUGCCAGCAGCCGCGGUAAUACGUAGGUGGCAAGCGUUGUCCGGAUUUAGUGGGCGUAAAGCGAGCGCAGGCGGAAUGAUAAGUCUGAUGUGAAAGCCCACGGCUCAACCGUGGAACUGCAUCGGAAACUGUCAUUCUUGAGUGCAGAAGAGGAGAGUGGAAUUCCAUGUGUAGCGGUGGAAUGCGUAGAUAUAUGGAAGAACACCAGUGGCGAAGGCGGCUCUCUGGUCUGCAACUGACGCUGAGGCUCGAAAGCAUGGGUAGCGAACAGG
rnacentral:rRNA from 1 species